rnacentral:rRNA from 1 species
AUUGAACGCUGGCGGCAUGCUUUACACAUGCAAGUCGAACGGCAGCGCGGGCUUCGGCCUGGCGGCGAGUGGCGAACGGGUGAGUAAUGCAUCGGAACGUGCCCAGUAGUGGGGGAUAGCCCGGCGAAAGCCGGAUUAAUACCGCAUACGACCUGAGGGUGAAAGCGGGGGACCGAAAGGCCUCGCGCUAUUGGAGCGGCCGAUGUCGGAUUAGCUAGUUGGUGGGGUAAAGGCUUACCAAGGCGACGAUCCGUAGCUGGUCUGAGAGGACGACCAGCCACACUGGGACUGAGACACGGCCCAGACUCCUACGGGAGGCAGCAGUGGGGAAUUUUGGACAAUGGGGGCAACCCUGAUCCAGCCAUGCCGCGUGCGGGAAGAAGGCCUUCGGGUUGUAAACCGCUUUUGUUCGGGAAGAAAUCCUCUGGGCUAAUACCCCGGGGGGAUGGCGGUACCGGAAGAAUAAGCACCGGCUAACUAUGUG